ACAAUGUAUUUACUUUGACCCUUUGACAAAAAUGUAAAAAAUUCAAAAAAUUUGAACCAACCGUUUAAUUAGAAAAAUUACACUGGUUAUAUAGCAGUUUGACAAACACUUAUUUUGAUCAUUGAGAAGCUUAAUAUACCCUUAACAACACAACGUCAUUAAAACGUUCUGCUGAUUUUACAGAGUUAUCUCCCUGUAGUGUUAGGUACCACCUUAAGUAAAAAAUU
rnacentral:lncRNA from 1 species